UACGGAGGGUGCAAGCGUUAUCCGGAUUCACUGGGUUUAAAGGGUGCGUAGGUGGGCAGGUAAGUCAGUGGUGAAAUCUCCGGGCUUAACCCGGAAACUGCCGUUGAUACUAUCUGUCUUGAAUAUAGUGGAGGUGAGCGGAAUAUGUCAUGUAGCGGUGAAAUGCUUAGUUAUGACAUAGAACACCCAUUGCGAAGGCAGCUCGCUACACUAUCAUUGACACUGAGGCACGAAAGCGUGGGGAUCAAACAGG
rnacentral:rRNA from 1 species